GAGACCUCCCCGGGGCCGGGAACCGGGACCACCGACCCGGAACCGAGACCCCGCGGGGCCGGAACCGGUGCCCGGAGAAUGACUGGAGAAAAGCCGGAAGCGGAAGGGAGGGGGCGUGGCCUGAGGCCCCGGAAUCUCCUGGGCAUUGUGCAUGAAGCCCACCACAUCAUCUAGGCCCCAGCACAGGGCGUCUGCCAGCAGAACCAACGACUCGUCAAAGUACUCGGCCACCAAGACCAAGUCAAAGACGGAGUCCAGCCAGGCCAGACUCCACUGGACGAGGGAUGAAGACCCCAAGUCUAAAGCAGCGGGGCUGGGCGUCUGGCUGUGACCAUCAGCAGUGGGGGGAGCAGGAGGGAAGAGAGCAUUGGGAUCCAGGGUGUGGGCUCGAGAGCCAGUGCCAGAAG